CGUAAGUAAUCUGCCUAUCAGAGGGGAAUAACAGUGAGAAAUCAUUGCUAAUACCGCAUAUACUAAUUUUAUUGCAUGAUAGAAUUGGGAAAGGAGCAAUCCGCUGACAGAUGGGCUUGCGUCUGAUUAGUUAGUUGGCAGGGUAAAGGCCUACCAAGACGAUGAUCAGUAGCCGGACUGAGAGGUUGAACGGCCACAUUGGGACUGAGAUACGGCCCAGACUCCUACGGGAGGCAGCAG
rnacentral:rRNA from 1 species